CAAGCGAAUGCUUCGGCUUCUGGAGGUGGCAAAAAGCUUGAGAAGCAUCUCCAAGGCGUCCUCCGGGGUUGUUUGCUAAGCCAGAGAGAUAUGUCUCGGUUGGCAUCCAGCCUUCGGAGCUGUAUCCCAUGGAAACAGCAGGCAUUUAGAAGCCUCACAGACAUGGCCAGAGGGUCAUGAAGAGGGUGUGAAAUCAACUGUUUCCUGUCAUUACCCAUCAAAAUGACAAUCAGACCUUUGCUUGCCCUCUGCUUAUCAAGAUGUCUGUGGCAUUAAAAGUUCACAGGAGUCCAAAUGUUAUGUUCCUUCCCAAUCUGAUACUGAUUUUUUUGUUACCUGUCAUUUCUUAAGUUGUAAACUCACUUGUGAUCUGCUUUCUACAUUUGCAAAAUAGUUCAUCUUUCUCUUAUACUAGACACUCUGCUUUUCCCCAACUUCCUCUAUAUCACUUGUAAAUUAUAUCUCAUUUUUUCUUUAAUUUUCCUAAUCUAACAAGACCAUUAGGGCACAGAGCUGAGAUCCAAGAGGCAAUAUAGCAAAUGAAUCACUACUACUUCUGAGGACAGCUCGGUAAGAACAGGGCAUUAGGUGCUCUGCAUGCAUUAUCUCACUUAAUCCUUACUGUAACUCUAACAUCAGCAUUAUUAUCAGCUCCAUUUUAGAGACGAUGAAACUGAAACUUCAAAAAAAUGGAAUAAUUUGGGCCGGUCGAGUGGCGCGUUGGUUAAGAACUGGCUUGGGAUGCCAGAGGG